CAGGCUGCAACUCGCCUGCAUGAAGCUGGAAUUGCUAGUAAUCGCGGAUCAGCAUGCCGCGGUGAAUACGUUCCCGGGCCUUGUACACACCGCCCGUCACACCAUGAGAGUCGGGAACACCCGAAGUCCGUAGUCUAACCCGCAAGGGAGGGCGCGGCCGAAGGUGGGUCCGGUAAUUGGGGUGAAGUCGUAACAAGGUACC
rnacentral:rRNA from 1 species